UCUACUCUUUCCCUAUCAAUUUUUCUUUUCUUUCUCUCCAAGUUGGUUUCUAAUUUUGUUCUCUUCUCAAUCUUUGACCCUAGAUCGCGAACGGCAACCAAUCUUCAUCGUGCUUCCGCUGCAAAAAUCCUUGGGUUUCUUCAUUUGAUUGUUAACUUGUGACUGCUAGGUAGCAUUAUUGAUUAUUAAUUGUCUUUAUUUUUUCAAAUGUGCAGCCUUAUUCAUACUAUCUUUUGUUAGAAAAAUGAAAGAAGAGAAGACAUAGAAAUGAGCUUGGUAACUACCAUUCUUGUAGGUGGAUUUGCCAAAAUGGAAAAUGUAGACACUUUUGGGUUGCCAUUUCAAUUGUCUUCUUUGUUGCUGCUACAUUAUUUACUCUACUGAAACUUUGUGAUUUAAUCUUCCCCAGGUUGUAAAGUAUAUUUUGGUCUUAGAUAGCCAGCCAAGCUAAGCUAAGUAGAUGGAAGCAAUUGUUGAAGUUGAAGAUUGUGAAAGCGUUUAAGAUUUCUUAUUUAAGUCUUGUAUUAGGAUCUAGUUUCAUGUAUUAUUAUAGAAUGUAUAUACAAACGCAAUAUUAAGA